GAUGAACGCUGGCGGCGUGCCUAAUACAUGCAAGUCGAGCGAACAGAUGAGGAGCUUGCUCCUCUGACGUUAGCGGCGGACGGGUGAGUAACACGUGGAUAACCUACCUAUAAGACUGGGAUAACUUCGGGAAACCGGAGCUAAUACCGGAUAAUAUAUUGAACCGCAUGGUUCAAUAGUGAAAGACGGUUUUGCUGUCACUUAUAGAUGGAUCCGCGCCGCAUUAGCUAGUUGGUAAGGUAACGGCUUACCAAGGCAACGAUGCGUAGCCGACCUGAGAGGGUGAUCGGCCACACUGGAACUGAGACACGGUCCAGACUCCUACGGGAGGCAGCAGUAGGGAAUCUUCCGCAGUGGGCGAAAGCCUGACGGAGCAACGCCGCGUGAGUGAUGAAGGUCUUCGGAUCGUAAAUCUCUGUUAUUAGCGAAGAACAAAUGUGUAAGUAACUAUGCACGUCUUGACGGUACCUGAUCAGAAAGCCACGGCUAACUACGUG
rnacentral:rRNA from 1 species